UACGUAGGGUGCGAGCGUUGUCCGGAAUUAUUGGGCGUAAAGGGCUCGUAGGCGGUCUGUUGCGUCGGGAGUGAAAACUCAGGGCUUAACCCUGAGCCUGCUUCCGAUACGGGCAGACUAGAGGUAUGCAGGGGAGAACGGAAUUCCUGGUGUAGCGGUGAAAUGCGCAGAUAUCAGGAGGAACACCGGUGGCGAAGGCGGUUCUCUGGGCAUUACCUGACGCUGAGGAGCGAAAGUGUGGGGAGCGAUCAGG
rnacentral:rRNA from 1 species